CUUGACCUCGGAUCAG
rnacentral:rRNA from 3 species